rnacentral:rRNA from 1 species
GUACACUCCUACGGGAGGCAGCAGUGGGGAAUAUUGCACAAUGGGCGCAAGCCUGAUGCAGCCAUGCCGCGUGUAUGAAGAAGGCCUUCGGGUUGUAAAGUACUUUCAGCGGGGAGGAAGGCAAUACGGUUAAUAACCGUGUUGAUUGACGUUACCCGCAGAAGAAGCACCGGCUAACUCCGUGCCAGCAGCCGCGGUAAUACGGAGGGUGCAAGCGUUAAUCGGAAUUACUGGGCGUAAAGCGCACGCAGGCGGUCUGUCAAGUCGGAUGUGAAAUCCCCGGGCUCAACCUGGGAACUGCAUUCGAAACUGGCAGGCUUGAGUCUUGUAGAGGGGGGUAGAAUUCCAGGUGUAGCGGUGAAAUGCGUAGAGAUCUGGAGGAAUACCGGUGGCGAAGGCGGCCCCCUGGACAAAGACUGACGCUCAGGUGCGAAAGCGUGGGGAGCAAACAGGAUUAGAAACCCCAGUAGUCCCAUGA